UGGGGAAUCUUCCGCAAUGGACGAAAGUCUGACGGAGCAACGCCGCGUGUAUGAUGAAGGUCUUCGGAUUGUAAAGUACUGUCAUUGGGGAAGAACGGUUUUCUUGAAAAGAUUGAGAAGACAUGACGGUACCCAAGGAGGAAGCCCCGGCUAACUACGUGCCAGCAGCCGCGGUAAUACGUAGGGGGCAAGCGUUGUCCGGAAUUAUUGGGCGUAAAGGGCGCGUAGGCGGGCCUUUAAGUCCGGUGUGAAAGAUCAGGGCUCAACCCUGAGAGUGCAUCGGAAACUGGAGGCCUUGAGGACAGGAGAGGAAAGUGGAAUUCCACGUGUAGCGGUGAAAUGCGUAGAUAUGUGGAGGAACACCAGUGGCGAAGGCGACUUUCUGGACUGUAACUGACGCUGAGGCGCGAAAGCGUGGGGAGCAAACAGGAUUAGAUACCCUGGUAGUCCACGCCGUAAACGAUGAGUGCUAGGUGUAGGAGGUAUCGACCCCUUCUGUGCCGCAGUUAACACAAUAAGUACUCCGCCUGGGAAGUACGAUCGCAAG
rnacentral:rRNA from 1 species